rnacentral:rRNA from 1 species
UACGGGGGGGGCAAGCGUUGUUCGGAAUUACUGGGCGUAAAGGGCUCGUAGGCGGCCAACUAAGUCGGACGUGAAAUCCCCAGGCUUAACCUGGGAACUGCAUCCGAUACUGGAUGGCUUGAAUCCGGGAGAGGGAUGCGGAAUUCCAGGUGUAGCGGUGAAAUGCGUAGAUAUCUGGAGGAACACCGGUGGCGAAGGCGGCAUCCUGGACCAAUAUUGACGCUGAGGAGCGAAAGCUAGGGGAGCAAACGGG